GCGAUAUCCUUUCUUGAAAAUGGAGUCGUCCACCCGGUCCGGGAGUGGCUGAUGCUGCAGGUUUUCCGCGUGCAAUCUCUUCGCUAGAGCGAAUUUGUCGGCACAGAUGGCGAUUUCUGGAACAAAAGAAGAAAUAAAAUGGAUUUGGGAGCUUUUCGAAACCGUCGACUUAAACCAGCGUUGGACGCCAUUGCAUUCAACUGUCUACAUUUUAUACAUGUUUCCCUAUUAUCUUAUAAUCGGGAUUCGUGGACAUUACUCCGAAACGUAAUUCUGGAUCCAACCAAAGGAAAGCCGAAUUAAUUUAAGGAAUUUUGCUGCGAGUCCAUACCAUGAACAGCUCAGCAUCUACUUUUCUCGGUAACGAACUGGGUCACGCGUGAAUUCGCGUGCGUCACGUAAGCGCAAGGUGGUAUUUCUCAACUGGCGUGAAUUUGAUUCAGUUUCCUGGCAGCAUGGACAGCAAAACGAAGACUGACGGUGACGAGAUAAU